rnacentral:lncRNA from 1 species
CGCGGCACAGUGGGCAGGAAGUGACACCAAAGAGCAUCAGGAUUAGGAAGUCUGUUCGGAUUAGCAUGGAAUCAGAGUCUCCCUGCCCUGGGAAUCAUUGCUGGCCAUGGCAGUUGCUGAGACUGGGAGCUAAAAGGUGCAUCUGAGUUGGAGUCUUGUCAUGUUCCUUCAGGCCUUAACAAUAUAGUUGUUUCUGACUGGUUCACUAGAGAAGCCUUGGUAUGAGUCAAGGGUGGGAUGUCUUCCUCAGCCUGUCAUGGAAAGAUUCCCAUGAAUCUUCUUCAGGAGGGCAGGUGGUCAUGUUUCUGGCCCACCAGCUCUGAUGGUUGCACUAUCUAGGGCCCAUUAAGCUGCCUUAGAAGAGCUUGGCACUGCAGGAGGUAGGGCCGAGUAUCCUGUUUAUUGAGGGCCAGAAAGCCCUUUCAGAGCCUAUUCUUCUCAUCUGCACACUUUCAGCAGACUCUCUGGAGCAGCCCAGCUUCCCAGAACUGAGAUCACUAAACCAAGAAGAGGAGGCACCUUGGACCUGGGUAAAGGCUCCUUUCCAAGCUACUGCACAAAGAGGCCCAGGAGAAAUCAAAAGAUCAUGGACUGUUUUUGCUAUUGCAUGUGUUCCACCUUCAGUAUGGACUGUUGCCCUCCUUGCAGGUACUUCCCUUUAACUUUUCUUUUUGGCUAAGAUCCUUUGCAAUGUAUUGUAGAACUUCUGCCUGCCAGAUGUUUUCCCCUAAAGUCUACAUCAAUGUCAGUAGUCUAUUCUUAUGGAUUCAAUAAUUCAUUACAAUUCUGAACUGGAUUUGCAGGAUCACUCUAUUAUUAUAAAGGAGAGAAAACCC